GGCUGCUUGAGAUAGAUAUGAAUUCUUAGAAGCAAAAAGGAAUGUUUUUGUUUCUUUGGUGUGUGUGUGUGUGUGUGUGUGUGUUUGAGAGAAAGGGGGGAUGGGGUGGGUGAGGGAGAGGGAGAAUCUUAAGCAGGCUCCAUACCCAGCACCCAGCCUGAUGUGGGGAUCGAUUUCAUGACUAUGAGAUCAUGACCUGAGCCAAAACCAAGAGUCAGAAGCUUCACUGACUGAGCCACCCAGGCACCCAAAAAAGGAGUGUUAGAAGGAGUGAACGGUACAGAGAAUUAAAUGCUGCUAAGGUUAUUUUUAAUGUCAACAUUCAAUAACUAAUUAUGGAAUGGUAAAUAACUUUAUCUGGUUUUGAAACAUUAAAUGGUAUUUCUGCCUUCUUAAUUAUUAAGCUGAUGAAAAUACUAUAUGUUGAAUUAGGACCUGAUUUACCAAAUACAGUUUUUUUAAACAUUGAAGAGAAAGACGUGGUUUCUUUUAGAAAGUUUCUGUUUUAAAAUACAGUCUGGAGAUACAUAAAGAAGGGAGAAGCACUGGCAGAUGCUGAACAUAAUGGCCCUCGUCUCGUAACAGACAAGAAGUGUAAGCUCCCUUAACAGGCUGUUAUUUGGGAACUAACCAACAGACACUGUGUGAGGCUCUUCUACAAGCUGAAUAUCUGAAGAUGUUAAAACCUCCCUGUGGGAUUGGCCUUCUUUUUUCUUAAUUUUGAGAUGGAAAAACACUGUUUUGAAUUUCUUCUUCGCUCCAGUUGGCCAGCUUGGUUGAAAAAAGGAGCGAUGUUUCCAGCCUCAUGGAUGAUCCAAGGAAGUUAUCCGCAGCUUUCAGGAAGAAGCUGGAGCCAGUGGAAAUGUUACAACCCUGAAAGGGGAAUAAUGGAACAGGACUGAAGCUUUUAGGAUUAUAGCACUACCUCCCAUACAACUGAAAGGAAAUGGAUAACUAUGUGUGGAAACAGAGAGGCAGUGGUGACCAGUGUGCUCCAGACCUUGUCCUUUGUGCUGCUGCCUCUGGGCCAUGGAGUCCCAGCAAACACCUCAUACAGGUUUUUAAUAUUCUUCACUCCAAAAGACCUUGAUCAUAGUAAUUUCCACGUUCUGCUUACAAGAGUCAGGGCACCACUCUUCUAAGAGACUAAAAGUCAUUCUCAGAAUAAUGUUGCCUGAGAGGCUUCACACCUGGGGACAAUGAUGCAAACAGAGAUUGGCACUCUUGCAGAAGAAGCAUGGAGAGGUAAGAGUAGGGUUAUAUGACUGUCUGAACCAUGGGGCAUCUGGGUUUGUUGUUGCUGCCAAAAGAACUUAGACAACAAGCACUAUCGGUUCAGAAAUGAGCAAAAACUAAUAAUGUCAAUAUAAACAGUGUUUAUGAAACAAUUCUUUGGUUAGGUGUAUGGAUUUCCAAUUCAGAAAACUGAGACAUGUUACUGUAGACGACAAUUGCAAAAUAACAAAAGAAGUGCUAGGAAAGAAAGAAACAUCCAAGAUAUUUGAGUCUGUCACAAACAAAAACAGAAUGAAGAAGUGGCUGCAUUUCUUAUAGGAGGAGGAAAAUUUAAUAUUAUUUCAAAGAACCUAAAAUUAAUACUAUACAUCUAUAUUAGUUUCAUGCUCCUCAAAAUGUAACUAUUAACAUUUUAAAAUAAUCUCUUGGCCUUUCAAUAUUCACUCAUAUUUUAGAUGCAAUGUAUUUUGUAAUGAUGAUUGAGUCAAUUCAUUUCAUUCAAUGACAAUGGAGGUUAUAG
rnacentral:lncRNA from 1 species